rnacentral:tRNA from 1 species
GGGCACUUAGCUCAGCUGGUUAGAGCGCUCGCCUUACAAGCGAGAGGUCGGGGGUUCGAGUCCCUCAGCGCCCACAA